CCAGCCUUCCCCUUUUGCUCAUCAUUCUGGCCUUAUAAAUGUCACGGUAAAGGUGGGUUUUAAAGAAAGAUUUGGAGGAGAGGGGUCCGUUCAGAAAGGGGGAGCCAUGCAUAAGGGGGCCAUGUGGCUGAAUGCAUGCAGAGGUUUGUAUGAGAGUCUGGCAAACAAAUGGAUGAGGCUGGCGCCACCGGUGGAGCAGAGGAAAUGGAGGAAGUGACAUGGACCAGACUGUAGAGAGAGGAAAGGUUGUGAUGCCCUUUUGAAGGUGAGGGCAAGAAGUCUGAAGCUGAUGGAGUGAAACAGAUGGAAUAAUAAUAUGCAGAUGCCAGGCACUGAAGUAUCUAUGGGACUAGAACCCACUUCUCUUCUGAUGUCCGUUGAGCUACUUUAAUCAUUAAACGGUUCUCUCAUGCAUGCAAGCUUAAUUAUGGUCAAGGCUAAAUGCAAGAUUUGCUGUUGGACCCAGAGGAGAAAUCAGACCGGAUAUCACGAUUCUGAAAAACAGACCGCUGCCUGCAGAGAAAUUGUUGCAUGGAGAUUCUAACAAUGUGCCAUAGUGGAAUGCCCAGUGUGACAGAUACUGGGCACGUGAGAGCCUCGCCCCAGAGAUUCUAAAGAGAGAAAUCUGGUUGUCCGAUGACUCUGUGCAGACUUUUGAAGGAUGUAUGAUGGCUUGCUAGCAGAAUGUUUAUUAUCUGAAGAGUUGACGUGAAAUUAUGAAAGAAUCUCACCUCUCCAGUCCAUUGCUAUGAACUGUGGUUCUGGAACAAAGCUCUGGCUCAAAAAUAACGAGACGGUAAAUCACCAGAGUGAGAGUUAAUGGCCACAGCAAUUAGUCUGGGCCCAGCUCCAUACGCUCAGCGAUAUCGACUGAUGCUCCCUUCUAUUUCUGCUGUUCCUGCUAUUACGUCUGCUUCGCCAAACAACACAACCUGCUGAAGUACAUCGUUUCCAGAUCAGCUGCUGGUGCCAACGUCAGCAAAUCAGAGAGAUCACCAAUUCCCAUGCUC